UCUACCCAUUUCAGGCAUAAAAUGUACUGUAACCCUUGUCAGCCGGUGUGUCCUGUUAGUUGUCUGGGAUGAAGUUUAACCUGGAGUUCCAAAUGACACACUCUCCCAUCUGAAUUGAAUGGAAAGAUCUCCCUUUUUUAGGCAGAUGCUACACACCAAGCUUCAGAUGUUUAGAACUGCAGAAGGAUUCUAUCCAGGGGUGGGGGUUGUACCACUUUGAAAGGUCCCAGUUGCUGCCUGCUCUUGCUCUAUGCGUGUGACACAUCUGUUGAGCAUUUUCUGGCUGUGCGUCCUUCUGUAACCUGCAUGCUUACUGACAGUAUUUUUCACUGUCUUUCCAGAGGUUGUGGGUGCUUUUGUUUUGUAGCAUAUGCUAGGAGUAUGAAGACUAGGGGCGAGGUGGGGGGAGCACACCUGUGUCCAAGCCCCCCAACCCAGAGAAAAGAACACAGACCAACCCUCAGGGACCUUGUUCCUGUCCAGCCUCAAGUGGACCUCCCUGUUGGUUUUCAUCCUACAGAGUCUGUAUUAGGCAGUGUGGGAAGAAACAAGAAAUAGGAAAGAGAAGUUUAUUUGGUGUACCUUUAAGUGACAUAAUUCGAAGAUCACAUGAAAGGCAUUCUCUCCAGAGUCAAGGGGAAAUGCUUUCUUUGUAACCUCACAGGAGAGCUGAAUUGUUACUUUGGAAAUAGGCUUCUCCUAACAAAUUCCCACAGCCACACUACACCCAGCCCAACACUGGGCCCUGGCCACUUGGAUAAAUGGAAGAGGGAGCCUGGUCAGUUUGCUGGGAAUGAACCUUCCAUUGUCCUCACCCUCCAAGACCAGCCCAGAGCCAUUUGGAGAUAGUUUGUGUAACACUAAGGCACAGAGGUGCUGAGCUCAUUCUGAAGUUACAUGUUGCUCUGAGAGUCCCAGGUAAAAACUCCAUGUUGUUUUUCAGUGUCUUCUGUCCACAUGUGUAUUUGCAUGCAUAAAGUACACUAGUCUUAAGCAUUGAGUCUCAUACAUAAACACUCAAAUAGGCAAAGCUUCUCCAUCCUCCUCACACAUACCAAAGUGGCCCCAUGGCCCCUCAGUUGGUUCCUACCCAAGGGCAACUGCCAACCUGACUUCUGAACCGUUGGCAGGCUAUGCAUUAGACUUUAUAGAGAUGAAAGGCUGUGCCUACUAUGCCUCUUUCACACCCAGUGUGGUAUCUCAGAGUUUCACUCAUGCUGUCUGUGGAGCUGUGUGCUUCCUCACUGACUCAAUGUUUCCCAUUGUCUGAGUCCCAUUGUAGUAUUCCACAGUGUGACUACAUCCUUUGCAGCCAUUCUGUUGGACCAGGCUUUAGGUUUUUUCCAAUUUGGAGCAAUUAUAAAUAGCCCUGCUAUGGACAUUUAUGUGCAUUCCUAAUUCAUGAUUGGCAUGCCCCACCCACUUCCUUGGUGACCUGUCUGCCAAGGUGCAGUUGACAGGUAUUUAUGAAUGCCACUUUCAGAACCCUUGGAUGAGGUAGACAAACUGGUCAGUGCUUCCAAAGUGACUUGAAAUUUAAAAUAAGAGAUCACAUACUUGGGGGUUGGAGGAGGGUGCAGUGCCAGUGGACGAGUGCAUGCUUGUUAUGCUUAAGGCCCUGAGCUUGACCCCUAGCCCACCAAAAAAGGAGAGAGAAAAAGAGAUGAUUUACCUUGAAAAGCUGCCUAAAUGCUUGUUCCUUAAGCAAGCCAUUAGAUAUUUAUGGACAUCCUCAUCUGUAAAAUAUGCAUAGCAUAGUAUUAAUGUUAUGCACAAGUAAGGAGCUGUUGCAAGGGAUUGGGGUAUAAUUGGGUUGGAUAGGAGGUAAAGUAUUUGGAUAGGGCUUAGCUCAUCUAAGCACUCAAUUGCUGUUAUUGAUUUUUUUUUUUUUUUGGUAAUGAUCAUACAGAGUAAGGUCAAAGAAGCUAUGAUAUCACAUAAGUUCAUUGACAGAACCAAUGCAAAUGAAGUGACCUGUUUAACGUCUCAUGUGAAGCCAGUGUGUUGCUUUGCUUUUGUGCUUCUAUUUUUGGUCUUUAAUUUUGUGGCUGCUCUGUCUUUAAACAAAGACAGAGUGUGGAAGUGGAGGAACAAAGGAAGACCUGGGCUGGGGAAAUCUGAUUGCUGUGGGAUCAGCAUUAACCUCAAGACUCAGUACUGACCAUGCAGGUACAGUCAGGCUGUUCUGUGAUAUGCAUACCUGGCUUGGAUUAUUCCCCAUCCCACCCCAUCCCACCCCAGACUUCUAAUAAUAGAUAGGAAUUUGAAUUCAGUAUGAUCUGACCCAAUAUCAAGAACUUCAGAGGCCAGAGAAAUAACCCAACUCUUUCCAAUCUUAGAAGUGGGUGGAUCUGCACACUUGCAGAACGGAACCACAUUGUGUCCUAUAUCAGACAGUUACUAUGAUACUGAGUCGGAUGGGAUGGUGAGAAUUGUAGCACAUGAGAUGAAAAAGUUGGCUCUGAAGAAGCAGAGAAUUCAUCACUGUGGAAAUUGUCUUCAGCCUAGAGACACAGAUUUGUGUUUCAGUUCUUCUACGUAUCAACAGUGGAAGCUAUUCCAUUGGGUGACCAUGCAAAGGAGGGAAAAUUAACUCCACCCACACCUAAAGGUUUCCUUAACUCCAUAGAAAUGUAAACAUUUAAACGUUUCAUUUUGAAAUAGUAUCAGACUUAAAAGAAAAUUGCACAAAUAAUACAAAGAAGUGACCUGCCUCCACCCAAAGUCCCCAGUGUUAGCCCUUUGCCACUGUCGCUUUGUUCUUUCUGUUCAUACACACAUUGCACAUGUGCACAUAUGCACCUUCUUUGUUUCUGGACCAUUAGAGACUUCAUCACAGGCAUUAUGCCCCCUUUACCACACUGUUUUGUUGUUUCCUAAAAACAAAGCUAUCAAUUGCAAAGUUCAAUAUAGUUAUCAAACUUUGGGGGGGGGGGAACAUAUUAAAGCUGUGUUUACACAGUUACUGAAGGGCUCUUGCAGACCCGACUAGCAUAGCAAACACAGUGCUAGCAGGUCUUGCCCUUCCCACUUCCCUCUCCCUUGUAAACCAUAGACUACAUCAUUAAGUCAGCCACCAAGGUCCAUUCCCUUAUUUGGACACUUUCUUAUUCCAGACUCCUAAGGCUGAUCACCAAGGUCCAGCUAUCAAAGUCUUCAUGUCCAGCAAUCAAAAGCCUCCUUUGGUUAACCUAAUUAACAUGCCAAUUAAAGCAAACCACCACACCCUAGCCCAUCCUAAUACAGACCUCCUCUUUUUCCCUCUUUAAAAAAAAAAAAA